UUUUUUUCUAGUUAGAAGACUGAGUAUACUAAAUUAUGUUUGUAUACUUUAGGUCAAACAGUACAUAGAAACUGUUUCUUUUAAAUUAUUUGUGAACCAAAUGAAUUCAGUAUAAGAUAAAUCAAACCAGAUGUAGAAGAUUCUCUGAAAAUUACAGUACAAGGAAUUGAUAUUUAUACCAAAGUUAUAUUUAUAAGCCGAUUGCAGCUAAUAACUAUUCUGCAUUCACUGAUGUAUGACACAAAAAAAUGUUGAAACUUCAAUGACUGGCAGAGGGUUGUAUGGUUGGAUGAAUCCUUCCACUGUGUUUCAGAUGGAUGUGUCUUUAUGGGAAGAAACGCCCGCAAAGCUUUCCAAUCUGGAUUGUCUGCAUCCAGCUGUCAAGUUUAUAUUGACUUUGCAAUAAAGUAUUAACCGACAUUUGAGGUCCACAUAUUAAUUGCAAAGUGCUUCAGAAUGCAUUGUCUGCCAGAGUCAAAUUAAAUCUAGAAAAUAAUGCUUUCAAAAAAGAGGAUUGCCACAUGAGGAAAUCUCACCUUAUGGAAUUAAAUUCAACAUCGAGUGACUCAUUUUGUGGCUGCAGAAUAUACUCCUUAAUCCUGGUAAAAGAAGUGAAGUGGAUCAAAAUCUUCCAGGAAUAGGUUAUGGACCAUUUACUCUAAAAAAAGUUAAUAGAUAAACCUUCUAAUGCUGGUGCUAUUAUCUGAGAAUUUUAAGAGAGGACUGAGGCAAGAGACAUGGGGAUGGUGUAGGCUGGUGCUAAUACCACAUUUAGAUGAAAUACCUGCAAUACAAAUGAUGGGACUGUAGCAUGAAUUCAAGGUACAGAUUAUUUAGACCAGUGAACAUCAUGGCUCAGAAAGAAUACACAUUUUCCUCGUUAAAUUGAUAUUUGUAUUUUUAUCCGCUAACCGAUGAGACUUUUUCCAUAUCAUAAUCUGCAGAUGACAUUUUCCUACCCUGCUGAUUUUUCACAUUAAGUCAUUGAAUUCAAGCUGCCUCACCAGGUAUAGACAUCAUCAUACCCAGCAAGGUGAAAUGAGAGAUUUAUUUCCACAUUUCAUCAAUUCAUUUGAAAAAUACCUUUAGCAUUUACUCAGCACUUUUCAUGUGAUUUACAUUAAGAAGACUACUUGGAGAUGUCAGGGCGGUGCAGUGCUAAGCACUUCUCACUCACAGCUUAUAGACCUGGCGAUGAUUCUUAACUACAAUCAUUAUCUGUUGGCGAUUUGCAGACUGUCAGAUGUCUGAGAGUUUUUUCCUUUAAGUACCAAAGAAUGAAAUCUUAGCUUAAUUGCUACUUUUUAACUAGAUAUUGUGCAAUUGAUUGUUGUUACAUAAAUUGUUGGUUCUUACCCUAAACCCAAUUCUCUUAAUGUUCCACUAAUGGGACAUAUUAGUUUAAAAAUUGAUGGAUUGGAGCCUCCUGGCUUUGGUAUACUUUACUUUAAUAAAUAUGGAAUGAUAACAAUAUUUCAACUCAAGCACAUAAUAACAUAAGAAACACCCUGGCCAGCUCAGAGCUAAUGUACCUCUUUGAAGGGUUUUUCAGGAUAACAACAACUUAAAAGACUUUUUCUUUAUAAUUACAUCUAGGAUGUUCCUUUCCAUGAUUUCAAGACCUUCAGGAGGCCGAGGAGCUGUCUGAGGCUGAACUCAUUAUGCUUUUCUUGCUUUGCAAUCAUUUGACUUACUGCCUAAAAUUAAAACCUAAUUUUGAAGUGUCAUAAAGAUGGAGCUAAACACAGAACUGAUUAUAAUGAGGCAAGAUGGCAGUUAUAUGCAGUCUAGAUGGGAAGUGACCUCAGAAGAGCUGGGACAGGAAGUUCCAGAACCAGAAGUGAGGCCAAGGUGGGAUUUCCUUCUGUACAUCUGCAGUGAAGGAAAGAGAGAAACUGUUAGGUGACAGGAUCGACCCCUGGUCUAGUGGAGAAUUACAAUUAUGCUUCCAUGUGCACUUUUGUGUCACUACAUCCAAACUACAGAGUACAAGUCCACAAGCUAGAAGAGGAUACCAGACUCAAAACAUGGCUGUACCCACCUGUACACCCAUAAAUAGUACCCUACAUGAAUCCUACAACUAAGACAAAGGAGGAUUAUGCUUUGGAAAAACACCAACAAGGGCGAUGGAAAUAGCCACAGUGACUACCAGCUGCGCACUUCUGUGUUUGCCAAUCUGACUCUUAAGAAAUAAACACACAG